rnacentral:misc_RNA from 1 species
GAAAUGCGAUAAGUAAUGUGAAUUGCAGAAUUCAGUGAAUCAUCGAAUCUUUGAACGCACCUUGCGCUCCUUGGUAUUCCGAGGAGCAUGCCUGUUUGAGUGUCAUGGAAUUCUCAACUCUAUUUGCUUUUGUGAAUAGAGCUUGGAUUUGGAGGUUUAUUGCUGGUACUUGUGAUCGGCUCCUCUUGAAUGCAUUAGCUCGAACCUUUGCGGAUCAGCUAUCGGUGUGAUAAUUGUCUACGCCGUUGCAGUGAAGCAUAUCAAUGUGCUCGGCUUCCAAUCGUCCUUUACUGGACAAUGACUUUGACCUUUGACCUCAAAUCAGGUAGGAUUACCCGCUGAACUUCAGC